rnacentral:rRNA from 1 species
GACAGAGGGUGCAAACGUUGCUCGGAAUUACUGGGCGUAAAGCGCGUGUAGGUGGAUUGGUGUGUCAGAUGUGAAAGCCCUGGGCUCAACCCAGGAACUGCACCUGAAACUACCAGUCUUGAGUGGUGGAGAGGGAAGUGGAAUUCCUGGUGUAGAGGUGAAAUUCGUAGAUAUCAGGAGGAACACCGGUGGCGAAGGCGGCUUCCUGGACACUAACUGACGCUGAGACGCGAAAGCGUGGGGAGCAAACAGG